UACGAAGGGGGCGAGCGUUGUUCGGAAUCACUGGGCGUAAAGGGCGCGUAGGCGGCCCUCUUUGUCGCGUGUGAAAGCCCCGGGCUCAACCUGGGAACGGCGCGCGAAACGGGGGGGCUGGAGUUCGGGAGAGGAGAGUGGAAUUCCCAGUGUAGAGGUGAAAUUCGUAGAUAUCAAGCAGAACACCUGCGGCGAAGGCGGCCUUCUGGACGAUGACUGACGCUGAGACGCGAAAGCGUGGGGAGCAAACAGG
rnacentral:rRNA from 1 species